rnacentral:rRNA from 1 species
GAUGAACGCUAGCGGCAGGCUUAAUACAUGCAAGUCGAGGGGCAGCGCAGUGUAGCAAUACAUGGGCGGCGACCGGCAAACGGGUGCGGAACACGUACACAACCUCCCUCCAAGCGGGGAAUAGCCCAGAGAAAUUUGGAUUAAUACCCCAUAGGAUAGUGGAAAGGCAUCUUUCAGCUAUUAAAGAUUCAUCACUUGGAGAUGGGUGUGCGUAUGAUUAGGUAGUUGGCGGGGUAACGGCCCACCAAGCCUACGAUCAUUAACUGGUGUGAGAGCACGACCAGUCACACGGGCACUGAGACACGGGCCCGACUCCUACGGGAGGCAGCAGUAAGGAAUAUUGGUCAAUGGACGCAAGUCUGAACCAACCAUGCCGCGUGGAGGAUGAAGGCCCUCUGGGUUGUAAACUUCUUUUAUCUGGGGCGAAACUCCUCUAUUCUUAGAGGCCUGACGGUACCAGAUGAAUAAGCACCGGCUAACUCCGUGCCAGCCGCCGCAGUAA